CAAUAGCGUAUAUUAAAGUUGUUGCAGUUAAAAAGCUCGUAGUUGGAUUUCUGGUUGAAGCGACCGGUCGGGCGUUGAUUCGUCUGCACUGGAGGCGGUUUUGGCCAUCCUCUAGGAAAGUGCGUCUGGUAUUAAGUUAUCGGGCGUAUGAUCCUGGUCUUUUACUGUGAAAAAAUUAGAGUGUUUAAAGCAGGCCUUCGCCUUGAAUACAUUAGCAUGGAAUAAUAAGAUAGGACUUUGGUCUAUUUUGUUGGUUUGCAGACCGAAGUAAUGAUUAAUAGGGAUAGUUGGGGGUAUUUAUAUUCCGAUGUCAGAGGUGAAAUUCUUAGAUUUUCGGAAGAUAAACUUAUGCGAAAGCAUUUACCAAGGAUGUUUUCAUUAA
rnacentral:rRNA from 1 species